CUUGGUCAUUUAGAGGAAGUAAAAGUCGUAACAAGGUUUCCGUAGGUGAACCUGCGGAAGGAUCAUUAAAGAGUAAGGGUGCUCAGCGCCCGACCUCCAACCCUUUGUCGUUAAAACUACCUUGUUGCUUUGGCGGGACCGCUCGGUCUCGAGCCGCUGGGGAUUCGUCCCAGGCGAGCGCCCGCCAGAGUUAAACCAAACUCUUGUUAUUUAACCGGUCGUCUGAGUUAAAAUUUUGAAUAAAUCAAAACUUUCAACAACGGAUCUCUUGGUUCUCGCAUCGAUGAAGAAUGCAGCGAAAUGCGAUAAGUAAUGUGAAUUGCAGAAUUCAGUGAAUCAUCGAAUCUUUGAACGCACAUUGCGCCCCUUGGUAUUCCGAGGGGCAUGCCUGUUCGAGCGUCAUCUACACCCUCAAGCUCUGCUUGGUGUUGGGCGUCUGUCCCGCCUCUGCGCGCGGACUCGCCCCAAAUUCAUUGGCAGCGGUCUUUGCCUCCUCUCGCGCAGCACAAUUGCGUCUGCGGGGGGGCGUGGCCCGCGUCCACGAAGCAACAUUACCGUCUUUGACCUCGGAUCAGGUAGGGAUACCCGCUGAACUUAAGCAUAUCAAUAAGCGGAGGA
rnacentral:rRNA from 1 species